ensembl:lncRNA novel transcript, antisense to RGS6
CAAGCCUUCUGCAGCUUCCGGCCCUUCCUGCCGCAAUUCCAAGGAGCACCUUGGCAAAGCUAAACUUCGAUGCUCUCUUAGGAGGUGGAUGAACGCCUGGUCCUCCUCUCCCUUCUCCUCCGUGGCCUCCAGUGCUUGCUCUGGCACCAGCAACCCCAUUUUCUAUCUAUCUAUCUUUGGAGCCCAAGGCUGGAGCUGAUGAAGCUCUCAAGAGGGCAGCAUCCGCAUGGGAGCAGUGAGCUCUUUUCUGCUGAGAGCAGCAGCAGCCAGAGCCAAAGCUUGGACAACAGCUACCGGGUCUUAAGGAUGGUUCCCAAGGCAGCCUUGCAGCAGGAUCCAGGUCUGGGUGUCAUAUCCUUUGCCCUGUGCAUGGACAGGCCAGCUCCCCCAUCAGUGAGUAAGAGAGUAGGUCCUGUGCUGGUUCCGAGAGCAGCGGGAAUCACAGGUAGUCUAGUCAACAGAAAGGGAGGGACAAGCGAAGCUGAAACAUGACGUGGUGGAAAGUGCAGACAGUGCAUUCAAUCUGUCAUCAAAUUUCAUCCAAAGUAAGAUGUACUUGUUUCUUUUUUUUUUUUUUUUAGGGUUAAACAUGUUUUUCUGUUGCUGUUCAGAGAAAUGUCUUUGGAGCCAAGUGCAUGGCCCAAAGGUGCCACUCAGUGGCAGACUGGAGUAAUGCAACCCAAUUUCUGCAAGGCAAGACGACUGUGUGUGUGUGUGUGUGUCCCCAAAUGCUGGGCUCCAACUCUUCCCCUGAUUUGCCAUUUUUUGCCAUUUAGGAUUCUGAUGAUCUCCUUAAAGGAACCUCUCAGCGACCCUGCAGAGCCAAGCGUAAGGCAGAGAAGGCUUCAUGACUUCCAUCAGAUCAGGAAGCUGGCUCUGCCCUCAUCCUGUCUACGCCAUAUCUUGCCUUGGUGUACCUUUCUGGGUGCCUCUCUCUUCAUCUGUAAAAUGGGCACUGAGUGGAUGGAGGGAUAUGUGGCAUGGCUCUGGAAAACUUCCUAUGCAGACUUAACUCAGAAAUGCUUUCAGGUCCUGUGAGGGGGAGCUGAGGAGGGGUCAGUGUGGUGGCCACAGGCUCAAUGCUGGCCCAGUGUGAUCCCUCGGAUUCCAGCCUUCUCUCCGCAGGUGGCCUGGGCAGAUGCUGCCGCCCAGCUCUUGCUGCUGCCAUCUGGUGUCCCCUGCCCUUCCACAGCUCUCUGACAGCCACAAGUCCUGGGUGCUCAGGUCCUUCUGGCUUCUGGGUGAGAGGAAAGCAGUCGUGUUUCUUUAUCCAGAGUCCAGAGAGGGUGGGGAAGGAAGGGCUUGAAAGGAGCUGUUCCCCUACCUCAUUGUUCAGGUGGGCCCUUGACUCUUGAGCUGGGGCAUGGGUCUCCUCCAUCUCCCAGGCCUGCCCUAGGUUCUGUAGGGCUCUCUGUCCACUCUCUCAGGUCUGCUGUGAAAAGAAGGAAGUGGCCGGGAGGCUUGCCAAGUGAAAAUGGCCAUCUGCUGGUGAGAGUACCUACAAGGCUUUCUCUGCCUGGAAGGCCAUGUCUGACCAGUAGGUGAAAGAUGCGGGGAACCUGGCUCUAUAGGAAGAAGCCAGUGUUGGCUUUUCCAAGGCCCAGAAGGGGUCAAAUGUCCAGAGACGAAGUCAGUGAGGCUUCCUCAGCCCCAUGCUAGGCAGACAGGAGAACCAGGUUCACAGAGGGAGGCCGUCUGGGCUGAAUCCCUGGCUGGAAGCAACCUUCUGGGUCAGCGUCUUCCCACGCCCCCUGGGCCCCUGCAACUUCUCACACAAAUGGAUGACACCUGGGUGAUUUCCUGCCCCCUCAAUCAAUGCCACAUGGGAGGUCACUUUCUGUCACCUCUGUCAGCACUGAGGAGGAGCUGCUGAGCCCCUGUGGGAAGGCCCUGAGGACCCUGGGAGCUCUGCAGGCUCCCUGCGGUUCCUGAGGGCUCAGGGUCCUUUUUGCAGGAUGAUUUGGGUGCCACAUGAAAAUGUACAUCACUCAGCUGGAUAUAGAGAUGACCGGAGCUGAUGGAAAUACAAAUUUCAUAAUCAAUUUUUUUGAGACAGGGUCAUGAUCUGUCACCCAAACUGGAGUGCAGUGGCUACAUCUCGGCUCACUGCAACCUCCGCCUCUCAGGUUCAAGCUAUUCUCCUGCCUCAGCCUCCUGAGUAGCUGGAAUUACAGGGGCAUGUCACCAUGCUCAGCUAAUUUUUGCAUUUUUAGCAGAGAUGGGGUUUCACCAUGUUGGCCAGGCUGGUCUUGAACUCCUGGCCUCAAGUGAUCCGCCCGCCUUGGCCUCCCAAAGUGCUGGGAUGACA